GACGAACGCUGGCGGCGUGCUUAACACAUGCAAGUCGAACGCUGAAGCUCAGCUUGCUGGGUGGAUGAGUGGCGAACGGGUGAGUAACACGUGAGUAACCUGCCCUCUUCUUUGGGAUAACGCCCGGAAACGGGUGCUAAUACUGGAUAUUCACUGAUUCUCGCAUGGGGGUUGGUGGAAAGGUUUUUUCUGGUGGGGGAUGGGCUCGCGGCCUAUCAGCUUGUUGGUGGGGUGAUGGCCUACCAAGGCUUUGACGGGUAGCCGGCCUGAGAGGGUGACCGGUCACAUUGGGACUGAGAUACGGCCCAGACUCCUACGGGAGGCAGCAGUGGGGAAUAUUGCACAAUGGGCGAAAGCCUGAUGCAGCGACGCCGCGUGAGGGAUGGAGGCCUUCGGGUUGUAAACCUCUUUCGCUCAUGGUCAAGCCGCAGCUUUGGGUUGUGGUGAGGGUAGUGGGUAAAGAAGCGCCGGCUAACUACGUG
rnacentral:rRNA from 1 species